rnacentral:rRNA from 1 species
GACGAACGCUGGCGGCGUGCUUAACACAUGCAAGUCGAACGGAAAGGCCCUGCUUUUGUGGGGUGCUCGAGUGGCGAACGGGUGAGUAACACGUGAGUAACCUGCCCUUGACUUUGGGAUAACUUCAGGAAACUGGGGCUAAUACCGGAUAGGAGCUCCUGCUGCAUGGUGGGGGUUGGAAAGUUUCGGCGGUUGGGGAUGGACUCGCGGCUUAUCAGCUUGUUGGUGGGGUAGUGGCUUACCAAGGCUUUGACGGGUAGCCGGCCUGAGAGGGUGACCGGGUCCAGGGGGCCUGGGGAAGGAGCCGUACGCAAACGGGGGGAAAGGGUGGGGAAAUGUCCGAAAAGGGCGGAGGCAGGAAGGAGGAUCGCCGGGUGGGGGAAGACGGCUUUUGGGGUGGAAACAAUUUUUCCGUGUGAAUAAGCGUGGGGAAGGUAAAUGGUUAAAAAAGCACGGGUAACUUCGGG